GUGCUCGCUUUGGCAGCACAUACACUAAAAUUGGAACAAUACAGAGAAGAUUAGCACGGCCCCUGCGCAAGGAUGACACGCAAAGUCAUGAAGCAUUCCAUAUUUUU
rnacentral:snRNA from 1 species